rnacentral:rRNA from 1 species
UCCUACGGGGGGCAGCAGUGGGGAAUAUUGCACAAUGGGGGAAACCCUGAUGCAGCGACGCCGCGUGAGUGAGGAAGUAUUUCGGUAUGUAAAGCUCUAUCAGCAGGGAAUAAAAUGACGGUACCUGACUAAGAAGCCCCGGCUAACUACGUGCCAGCAGCCGCGGUAAUACGUAGGGGGCAAGCGUUAUCCGGAUUUACUGGGUGUAAAGGGAGCGUAGACGGACUUGCAAGUCUGAUGUGACAAUCCGGGGCCCAACCCCGGAACUGCAUUGCAAACUGUAUAUCUAGAGUGUCGGAGAGGCA